rnacentral:tRNA from 1 species
AGUAAGGUAAGCUAAAAAAGCUACUGGGCCCAUACCCCAGGAAUGUUGGUUAAAAUCCUUCCUUUGCUG